CCAGACUCCUACGGGAGGCAGCAGUGAGGAAUAUUGGUCAAUGGGCGGGAGCCUGAACCAGCCAAGCCGCGUGAGGGAAGAAGGUACAGCGUAUCGUAAACCUCUUUUGUCAGGGAACAAAGGCGGGGACUAGUCCCCGGAUGAGGGUACCUGAAGAAAAAGCAUCGGCUAACUCCGUGCCAGCAGCCGCGGUAAUACGGAGGAUGCGAGCGUUAUCCGGAUUUAUUGGUUUUAAAGGGUGCGCAGGCGGCCUGUUAGGCCGGCGUUAAAAGCCGGGGCCUCAACCCCGGCGAGCCGUUGAAACUGGCGGGCUGGAGUUGGAGAGAAGUACGCGGAAUGCGCGGUGUAGCGGUGAAAUGCAUAGAUAUCGCGCAGAACUCCGAUUGCGAAGGCAGCAUGCCGGCUCCACACUGACGCUGAGGCACGAAAUCGUGGGUAUCGAACAGGAUUAGAUACCCGGGUA
rnacentral:rRNA from 1 species